UACGUAGGGUGCGAGCGUUGUCCGGAAUUACUGGGCGUAAAGAGCUCGUAGGUGGUUUGUCGCGUUGUCCGUGAAAACUCACAACUCAAUUGUGGGCGUGCGGGCGAUACGGGCAGACUGGAGUACUGCAGGGGAGACUGGAAUUCCUGGUGUAGCGGUGGAAUGCGCAGAUAUCAGGAGGAACACCGGUGGCGAAGGCGGGUCUCUGGACAGUUCCU
rnacentral:rRNA from 1 species